UACGUAGGGUGCGAGCGUUAAUCGGAAUUACUGGGCGUAAAGUGUGCGCAGGCGGCUUCGCAAGUCGAGUGUGAAAUCCCCGAGCUUAACUUGGGAAUUGCGCUCGAAACUACGGAGCUGGAGUGUGGCAGAGGAAGGUGGAAUUCCACGUGUAGCGGUGAAAUGCGUAGAGAUGUGGAGGAACACCGGUGGCGAAGGCGGCCUUCUGGACGGAUACUGACGCUGAGACGCGAAAGCGUGGGGAGCAAACAAG
rnacentral:rRNA from 1 species